UACGGAGGGUCCAAGCGUUAUCCGGAAUCAUUGGGUUUAAAGGGUCCGUAGGCGGGCCUGUAAGUCAGUGGUGAAAUCUCCCGGCUCAACCGGGAAAUUGCCAUUGAUACUGCAGGUCUUGAAUUAUUGGGAAGUAACUAGAAUAUGUAGUGUAGCGGUGAAAUGCUUAGAGAUUACAUGGAAUACCGAUUGCGAAGGCAGGUUACUACCAAUACAUUGACGCUGAUGGACGAAAGCGUGGGUAGCGAAC
rnacentral:rRNA from 1 species